UCAUGCCCGUGGAGCGGCCGAUAUCUGAUUAGCUAGUUGGUAGGGUAAAAGCCUACCAAGGCAUCGAUCAGUAGCUGGUCUGAGAGGACGACCAGCCACACUGGAACUGAGACACGGUCCAGACUCCUACGGGAGGCAGCAGUGGGGAAUUUUGGACAAUGGGCGAAAGCCUGAUCCAGCAAUGCCGCGUGAGUGAAGAAGGCCUUCGGGUUGUAAAGCUCUUUUGUCAGGGAAGAAACGGUGUUUUCUAAUACAGAAUGCUAAUGACGGUACCUGAAGAAUAAGCACCGGCUAACUACGUGCCAGCAGCCGCGGUAAUACGUAGGGUGCAAGCGUUAAUCGGAAUUACUGGGCGUAAAGCGUGCGCAGGCGGUUUUGUAAGUCUGACGUGAAAUCCCCC
rnacentral:rRNA from 1 species